rnacentral:rRNA from 1 species
UACGGGGGGGGCAAGCGUUGUUCGGAAUCACUGGGCGUAAAGGGCUCGUAGGCGGCCAACUAAGUCAGACGUGAAAUCCCUCGGCUUAACCGGGGAACUGCAUCUGAUACUGGAUGGCUUGAGAUUGGGAGAGGGAUGCGGAAUUCCAGGUGUAGCGGUGAAAUGCGUAGAUAUCUGGAGGAACACCGGUGGCGAAGGCGGCAUCCUGGACCAACACUGACGCUGAGGAGCGAAAGCCAGGGGAGCAAACGGG